GGAAUUCAAAGCAAGAGAAAAUUCUCUGUGGCUGGUUUUAAGAUGGAGGGAGAGACAUGACAAGGGAUGUGAGUAACUUUUAGUUGAGAGCAACCCCCAGCCCACAGCCAGCAAGAAAAUGGAGACCAGUGCUACAACUGCAAGAAAGUGAAUUCUGCCAACAACUUGAAGGAACUUGGGAGAAGACUCCAAGCUCCAGAUGAUAAAACAGCCCAGCCAACCCUUUGAUUUCAACAUGUGACACGGUGCAGAGAACCCCGUUAUGUCAUGGCUGGACUUCUGACCUAUAGAAACCGUUGUAGAUUGUUGAAGCAAAAGGAGGACAAUCAAGCUGACCAGAGAGAGCGGGCUUCUUGAUGGACAAACAGAAGCUUAAAUGAUAUUCGUUUAUUGUCUCACAAUUCUGUAGACAAGAAAUCCCAGUGGAUUCAGCUGAAUUAUCGACUCAGGGCCACACAAGGCCAAAAUCAAGAUGGUGGCUGGGCUAGGCUUUUACCUGGAAACUCUGAGGAAGAAUCUGCUUCUGGUCUCAGAUUGUUGACAGAACUCAUUUCCUUGCCAUUUUUAAAAUUGAAGUCUCUGUUUUCUUAAUACAUAGCCUCUCAUCUUCAAGUCAACAAUGGCAUGCCGAAUUGUUCUCAUGCUUUGAGUCUCUGACUUCACCUUCUGCUACCACCAGAAAAAGGUCUCUGCUCUUAAGGGCUCCUGUGGUUAUAUUAGGCUCAACUAGAUAAUCUACCUAUCUUAAUUACAUUCUUUUUGGCAUAUAAUGCAACGUGUUCAUUGAAGUAACAUUAGAGGGCAACGGUCAUGGGUAGGAAAAUUCUGUCUACUACAUUUCUUUUG
rnacentral:lncRNA from 1 species